rnacentral:rRNA from 1 species
CCAAUAGCGUAUAUUAAAGUUGUUGCAGUUAAAAAGCUCGUAGUUGAAUUUCGGGGUUAGCAGGUUGGUCGUGCCACUGGUAUACACUGGCCUUGCUGAUUCCUCCCUCUUGAUGAGCCGUAAUGCCAUUAAUUUGGUGUUGCGGGGAAUCAGGACUGUUACUUUGAAAAAAUUAGAGUGUUUAAAGCAGGCAUACGCUUGAAUACAUUAGCAUGGAAUAAUGAAAUAGGACGUUCGAUCCUAUUUUGUUGGUUUCUAGGAUUGACGUAAUGAUUAAUAGGGAUAGUUGGGGGCAUUAGUAUUAAAUUGUCAGAGGUGAAAUUCUUGGAUUUAUUGAAGACGAACUACUGCGAAAGCAUUUGCCAAGGAUGUUUUCAUUAAUCAAGAACGAAAGUUAGUGGAUCGAAGACGAUCAGACACCGUCGUAGUCUUAACCAUAAACUAUGUCGACUAGGGAUCGGAUGAUGUUAAUUUUUUAAUGACUCAUUCGGCGCCUUACG